rnacentral:rRNA from 1 species
CGGGGUGAGUAACGCGUGGAUAACCUGCCUUACACUGGGGAGUAACACUUAGAAAUAAGGUGCUAAUACCGCAUAAGCGCACAGAGCCGCAUGGCUCAGUGUGAAAAACUCCGGUGGUGUAAGAUGGAUCCGCGUCUGAUUAGCUGGUUGGCGGGGUAGAAGCCCACCAAGGCGACGAUCAGUAGCCGGCCUGAGAGGGUGAACGGCCACAUUGGGACUGAGACACGGCCCAAACUCCUACGGAAGGCAGCAG